rnacentral:lncRNA from 1 species
UUAAAAACCCAAAAACUUUCAUAAUAACACUGUUUUCUUUUGCAAAAAAAUUUUGGUAGGGCUAAAGGUAUGAGGAGAUUAGACUGUACUAAAAAUACAGUAUACUGGUGACUCGUCAGACUCAUGCAUUAUCUAAGACACUAAAAGCAAAAUAAGCAACUAAAAAGCAAUAAAUAAAAAUAAAUAAACUAUCUAAAAACAGCAAAGAAAAUAAACAAACUAACUGAAAACAACAAAGAAAAGCGAUAAAGUCUCCUCCCACACUUAAAUCGAACAUUGUCCCCAAUGUUUCGAAAUAAGAUAAGGGAAGAGUUACCUGACAACCUACUGCU